rnacentral:RNase_P_RNA from 1 species
UCCAAGGCCAGUGCAACAGAAAUAUACCGCCUCGCAGGAGGUAAGGGUGGAAAGGCAGUGUAAGAGACUACCGCCUGCCUGGUAACAGGCGGGGCACAUGUAAACCCCAUUCGAAGCAAGACCAAAACGAAGGCGCUAAGGUUUGCCCGACCAGCCUUCAGGUGGGUCGCUUGAGGCUAUUGGUAACAGUAGUCCUAGAUAGAUGAUCACUCAACGACAUAACCCGGCUUAUCGUCCUGCUUAUUUU